rnacentral:lncRNA from 10 species
AAAAAAAAAAAAAAAAAAUUAGCCAGAUGUAAUGGUGUGUGCCUGUAGUCCCAGCUACUCAGGAGGAUGAAGCAAGCAGAUUGCUUGUACCCUGGAGUUCAAAUUUGUAGUGAGCUAUGAUCAUGCCGCUGUAUUCCAGCCUGGGCAACAGAGUGAGACCCUGUCUCAAAAAGAUUAUAAUUUUCUCUUCCUGUAAUCUCCCACAGCAUCUCUUGAUACUCUUCACUCUCCAUUUUCUCUUCUAGUCUAAAUGAACUUCUUUAAGUUACUUAAACAUAUCUGCUGUCAUUUUCUGGCUUUGGAACGCUGUAAUUUUUGCCUAGAAUACCUCUUCCUCCUUCCCUGCAACCCCUUCUCCCAGGCUUCUCUAGCUAACUGCAGUUCAUCUUUUAUCAUUCCAGUUUAGAUGUGACUUUUGCUACAGGCCUUUCUAAUUCCGCAAGUCAGUGUUAGGCAUCUUUAAUACAUGUUUCCUGUAGUAUCUUGUUAUGAUGACACUUAUUUUUCUUUUUGUAAAUGCAU